rnacentral:rRNA from 1 species
AUCGAACGAUGGCGGCAGGCCUAACACAUGCAAGUCGAACGAUUGGCGGACGGGUGAGUAAUGUCUGGUAAACUGCCUGAUGGAGGGGGAUAACUACUGGAAACGGUAGCUAAUACCGCAUACCAUCAGAGGUGCCCAGAUGGGAUUAGCUUGUUGGGGGGGUAACGGCUCACCAAGGCGACGAUCCCUAGCUGGUCUGAGUGGAGGACGAGCCCAACUGGAACAGAGACACGGUCCAGCGUCUUCCGGGAGGCAGCAGUGGGGAAUAUUGCAAAAUGGGCGCAAUCCUGAUGCAGCCCUGCGGCGUGUAUGAGGAAGGCCUUGGGGUUUUAAAGUACUUUCAGCGGGGCGGCGUUACCCGCAGAAGAAGCACCGGCUAACUCCGUGCCAGCCGCCGCGGUAAUAC